rnacentral:rRNA from 1 species
GAUGAACGCUGGCGGCGUGCCUAAUACAUGCAAGUCGAGCGAAUGGAUUGAGAGCUUGCUCUUAUGGAGUUAGCGGCGGACGGGUGAGUAACACGUGGGUAACCUGCCCAUAAGACUGGGAUAACUCCGGGAAACCGGGGCUAAUACCGGAUAACAUUUUGAACCGCAUGGUUCGAAAUUGAAAGGCGGCUUCGGCUGUCACUUAUGGAUGGACCCGCGUCGCAUUAGCUAGUUGGUGAGGUAACGGCUCACCAAGGCAACGAUGCGUAGCCGACCUGGGAGGGUGAUCGGCCACGCUGGGACUGAGACACGGCCCAGACUCCGACGGGAGGCAGCAGUAGGGAAUCGUCCGAAAUGGAAGAAAGUCUGACGGAGCAACGCCGCGUGAGUGAUGAAGGCUUUCGGGUCGUAAAACUCUGUUGUUAGGGAAGAACAAGUGCUAGUUGAAUAAGCUGGCACCUUGACGGUACCUAACCAGAAAGCCACGGCUAACUACGUGCCAGCAGCCGCCGCGG